UGAAGAAAAAGCAUCGGCUAACUCCGUGCCAGCAGCCGCGGUAAUACGGAGGAUGCAAGCGUUAUCCGGAAUCAUUGGGCGUAAAGGGUCCGCAGGUGGCGAAUAAAGUCUGCUGUUAAAGACCGGGGCUAAACUCCGGAAAGGCAGUGGAAGCUGAUUAGCUAGAGUACGGUAGGGGUAGAGGGAAUUCCCAGUGUAGCGGUGAAAUGCGUAGAUAUUGGGAAGAACACCGGUGGCGAAAGCGCUCUACUAGGCCGAAACUGACACUGAGGGACGAAAGCUAGGGUAGCGAAAGGGAUUAGAUACCCCUGUAGUCUUAGCGGUAAACGAUGGAUACUAGGUGUAGCUUGUAUCGACCCGAGCUGUGCCGAAGCUAACGCGAUAAGUAUCCCGCCUGGGGAGUACGCACGCAAGUGUGAAACUCAAAGGAAUUGACGGGGGCCCGCACAAGCGGUGGAGUAUGUGGUUUAAUUCGAUGCAACGCGAAGAACCUUACCAGGGCUUGACAUGUCGCGAAUCUAGCGGAAACGUUAGAGUGCCUUAGGGAAUGCGAACACAGGUGGUGCAUGGCUGUCGUCAGCUCGUGUCGUGAGAUGUUGGGUUAAGUCCCGCAACGAGCGCAACCCUCGUCCUUAGUUGCCAAUAUUAAGUUAGGCACUCUAGGGAGACUGCCGGGGACAACUCGGAGGAAGGUGGGGAUGACGUCAAGUCAGCAUGCCCCUUACGUCCUGGGCGACACACGUACUACAAUGGUUGGGACAAAGGGCAGCAAACUCGCGAGAGUAAGCGAAUCUCAUCAGACCCAGCCACAGUUCAGAUUGCAGGCUGCAACUCGCCUGCAUGAAGUAGGAAUCGCUAGUAAUCGCAGGUCAGCGUACUGCGGUGAAUUCGUUCCCGGGCCUUGUACACACCGCCCGUCACACCAUGGAAGCUGGCUACGCCCGAAGUCGUUACCCUAACCCGGUUUUGGGAGGGGGAUGCCGAAGGUAGAGCUAGUGACUGGGGUGAAGUCGUAACAAGGUAGCCGUACCGGAAGGUGUGGCUGGAUCACCUCCUUUACAGGGAGACCUAGUCUAAUUACCAAUAGAUAAAAAAGUUGGUAAUUCGCAAGAAUCCUUAGGUCGUGAGGGGAGCAAGAAAAAACUUUCAAACUGUAAUGGGUGAGGGUCAAUGGGCUAUUAGCUCAGGUGGUUAGAGCGCACCCCUGAUAAGGGUGAGGUCCCUGGUUCAAGUCCAGGAUGGCCCACCUAAAAUACACAGGCAUCCUGCCUGUGCCACAAAAAAAGGAAAAAGUUUUGGCAUUGUCUCUUGUAAUCAAGAGCAAGAGAUAAUGCUGGAAUAGAUU
rnacentral:misc_RNA from 1 species